UACGUAGGGUGCGAGCGUUGUCCGGAAUUAUUGGGCGUAAAGAGCUUGUAGGCGGUUUGUCGCGUCUGCUGUGAAAUCUCAAGGCUCAACCUUGAGCUUGCAGUGGGUACGGGCAGACUAGAGUGUGGUAGGGGAGACUGGAAUUCCUGGUGUAGCGGUGAAAAUGCGCAGAUAUCAGGAGGAACACCGAUGCGAAAGGC
rnacentral:rRNA from 1 species